CAGUCGCCGCGGUAAUACGUAGGGUGCAAGCGUUAAUCGGAAUUACUGGGCGCAAAGCGUGCGCAGGCGGUUCGUUAAGACAGAUGUGAAAUCCCCGGGCUUAACCUGGGAACUGCAUUUGUGACUGGCGAGCUAGAGUAUGGCAGAGGGGGGUAGAAUUCCACGUGUAGCAGUGAAAUGCGUAGAGAUGUGGAGGAACACCGAUGGCGAAGGCAGCCCCCUGGGCCAAUACUGACGCUCAUGCACGAAAGCGUGGGGAGCAAACAGGAUUAGAUACCCCGGUAGUCCCUGUCUCUUAUAC
rnacentral:rRNA from 1 species